rnacentral:tRNA from 1 species
GCGGGUAUGGUGUUCAACGGUAGCACGCUGUCCUUCCAAGUCAUAGGUAGGGGUUCGAGUCCCCUUACCCGCU